rnacentral:ribozyme from 1 species
UGCCCAACAACUCCUAUCCCUACUUCCGCGUGGCACCGGCCGGACUGCGAGCAACCUUUAGGGAAGAUCGGGUAACCAACCCCGGUGGGAACUUUUGUCGUAGACUGACAGGGAAGG